CUAGUCAGUGGGGGAAAGAUAUAGCAGUAGGGCUAGCUGCAUUAGAAAUAAGGCCCCCUUCCCCUCCCUUGUCCAGUGUGCUCUCGCCAUUGUUCCAUCCGCGAGAUGCACCCUUCUAUAAAAGUAAAUUGCCUUGGUGAGAAGACUUCUGCCUGAGUGCUAUUUUCACUUGGCAGCACUGAGCAUUUACUUCCAACAUCAUCCCAUCCAACAGCCUCACAGUUGCCCUGUUAUGGCUGAACGAGCUUGUAGUAUAGGCCUGGGUAGCAUGAACACAGAUUCCAGAGUGAGACUGCCAGUGCUGAAAUGAGACAGUUAGUUUUUAUUUAUUCCACUUUUGUUCUAGGUUUCACUGAAGAAAUGUUGGUUUCACAGUGCUGCCCAGAUUCCCCUGGGCUGUUAUCUGCAUAUUACUUUCUGUCUGAUGGGUCCUCUGGGUAGCUGAUACAGACAUGGAGUUCAAAGAGCAAGAGAUGACUAAGCGUGACUCCUGGGAAAAAUAAAAGUGGGUAGAAGCAGGCUCAGCUUCUGCAGAUGGCCUCCCCUCUCUGCGACUGGUUCCUUAUCGAGGCAAUGGAGAUGUGGACUGCGGUGACUGAUCAAGCCUCACAUAUCUACUGAAUCAGGAAGCCCGAAGGCCUGAGGCCUCCCGAGUGGCCCCAUGGGAGCGUCGUGCAUUUUUCUGGGCCCGAUGACGAUGCUGGCCUGGCGGGGGACUUGGCUGACCCGGCCUCCGCACAGGUGGACUAGUUCACAGAGCUUGGCCACUGGGGGGCUGCUGGCAGGCGAGACAAACAUCGCUGGCUGGUCGGCAAAGAGGGUUCCGCGGUACGGCCCUGCAGACAAGUGGCACUCGCUUCGGCACAGCUGUGGGGCAGACAGAGAUAGAAUUACAGAGGUGGGACCACUCCAGUCUCCAUAGCGUAGGCGAACUGUUGCAGUUUACUUCCUUUUUUAUGAAAAGAAUAGACUGAAUGUAAGGCUGCCAUGCUCCUGUGAAUUUUGAAUUCUGAGAAUCCAGAGAAGAUGAUGACAUUAAUGACAUAAAACUGACGUUUUCUGAAGUAGCCAUGCGUAAAACUCCAAGGAAACAAAUUAGAAAAAAAAAAGUGUAGGCCUUUGAAUUAUUCCAAAGCCUCAAACAAAAUAUUGAAAAGCAACUGUUAGCACAGCAGAGCCAUAGCUAGGCUGAACUCUCACUAAAGUAACUUGGUGACGUGUGCAAGUGACGGCAAGAUUCUAAUGCACUGCAAAUGCCGGCUGUGCUGGGAGAGCGUCAUUCAAUCCAGCGCGCUCCAGGCUGUUGGCAGAAAAGGACUUUUAUAGGAUCAUAAUAAAUACCGAGCCUCAGCAGCUUUCAUGUGCCUUGCAGGAGACAGUGGCAGCAGGGGCAAAUGAUUCUUCCUGGAUGGUGACUUUAACAAAGACUUCUUCUGGGGGGCACCGAUCUCCACCUGGCCAUGUCUUCAAGCCCAAGGAGAAGUCCCAGGAUGGGUCUGAGCUAAUCACGGUGAUCGCAAUACAAAUGACUGCGCUAAGCAUGGCACAGCUGGCCUCAAUCCUGGCCAAUGCAACGUGAGAAUCAAUUGCUGGUGGGAUUCUGGGGGAGUUUUUCUCACUGUUAUAAACAGAUGCAAAGCAGAAAUACUUCUCUUUGCUGGACACUGUCAUGUCUAAUGUGACGCCUGGAUCACUGAAGCCCCCAGAGGCCACGGGACACGCUGAAAAUGGCCCAGUGGGAAGGCGGAAAGCCUUGGGUCCUGAAAAACACUUCUAAGUCACUGACGGACCAAACUGAAAUCAUCCUUUAUUUUGUUCUUUUCAUGUCAGAAAAAAAGACCCCUAAAUUCUUUAAGUGACUUUUUUGUUAAGUUUUUGUUUCUAGAAGCCCAAAAUAUCCUAAUAAUAAUAAUUUUAAAUAAUCCACCUAUUUUUGGAAAUAGCUUGUUCAUCAUUGAGAUUAUGAAUAAUAGAUCAGUUCUCACCCCUGCCUUCCCCACCAUUUACCAGAGUUAACAACUGUGAAAAAUUCUCUGUGUAUUUUUAAAAAUCCUGUAAAAUGCACACACAACACACACACACAUUUAUGAUAAUGCUUGUUCUUAACCAAAAACUGAGAUCUAAUCUCUAUCUCACUAUAUGGAUAA
ensembl:lncRNA MCPH1-AS1 MCPH1 antisense RNA 1